rfam:Triticum aestivum genome assembly, contig: Triticum_aestivum_CS42_TGACv1_scaffold_486317_6AS
AAAGUAGAUGAGGAGGAUGUUGUGUCUCAUAUCCUUGUUGGACUCGAUGAGGAGUUCGACCCCGUGGUUUCUGCCAUGUGCUCUCGAGUUGAGCCGGUGACCGUCCCCGAGCUGUACUCGCAGCUUUUGAGCUUCGAGA